GAUGAACGCUGGCGGCGUGCUUAAUACAUGCAAGUCGAACGAGGAGAUCAUUGUACUUGUACAGCGAGCUCCUAGCGGCGAACGGGUGAGUAACGCGUUGGUGACCUGCCCCAAAGUGUGGGAUAACAGUUCGAAAGAGCUGCUAAUACCGCAUGUGAUCACAGAGGUUAGAUGCUUUGUGAUGAAAGGAGCGAUCCGCUUUGGGAGGGGCCUGCGUCCAUCAGCUAGUUGGUAGGGUAAUGGCCUACCAAGGCGACGACGGGUAGGGGGCCUGAGAGGGUGGCCCCCCACACUGGCACUGAAACACGGGCCAGACACCUACGGGUGGCAGCAGUAGGGAAUAUUGCACAAUGGGCGAAAGCCUGAUGCAGCAACGCCGCGUGCGCGAUGAAGACCUUCGGGUUGUAAAGCGCUUUUCGAGGGGAUGAGAAAGGACAGUACCCUCGGAAUAAGGAUCGGCUAACUACGUGCCAGCCGCCGCAGUAACAC
rnacentral:rRNA from 1 species